rnacentral:lncRNA from 1 species
GUUUGUUUUUUGCUUAUUUAUUGUCGUACUUUAUGACAAUAGUCUGAGUGUUGAUUUUCAUUUGUAAACGUGUUGUUUUGCAAUGUUGCAUGCAAACCGAUGUCUAGAUAUUGUGCGAGAAAAUGUUUUAAGAAUAUACAAGACACAGAAAAAAAUGGUCGUUUCUGCAUGGAGAAUUGAAUUUGAUAUCAAAGAAUUUACAACUGGCUACUUUUGGUUGAUAAAAAUAGAUAACUGACAUGGUUUAAAUGAAAGUAAGGUCACCAAUUUUCCGGUAUCAAACAAUUUGACAAAAAGCAAUAAUGUAUUGCCAUAUGACCAUUUCCAUUGAUGGGUUAAACUUGCAUUAAGUCAUGUUCAGACCCUUUUACAGAAAAUAAAGGAAUAUGGAGUAAAUGUGCACGAAACCUAAUCGC